rnacentral:rRNA from 1 species
AACGAACGCUGGCGGCAGGCUUAACACAUGCAAGUCGAGCGGACCCUUCGGGGUCAGCGGCGGACGGGUGAGUAACGCGUGGGAACGUGCCCUCUUCUUCGGAAUAGCCUCGGGAAACUGGGAGUAAUGCCGAAUACGCCCGAAAGGGGAAAGAUUUAUCGGAGGAGGAUCGGCCCGCGUUGGAUUAGGUAGUUGGUGGGGUAACGGCCUACCAAGCCGACGAUCCAUAGCUGGUUUGAGAGGAUGAUCAGCCACACUGGGACUGAGACACGGCCCAGACUCCUACGGGAGGCAGCAGUGGGGAAUCUUGGACAAUGGGGGCAACCCUGAUCCAGCCAUGCCGCGUGAGCGAUGAAGGCCUUAGGGUUGUAAAGCUCUUUCAGCGGGGAAGAUAAUGACGGUACCCGCAGAAGAAGCCCCGGCUAACUCCGUGCCAGCCGCCGCCGUAACAC